GGUAAUUGAACUCAAUAGGAACGGGCGCAGGAGCGUCAAGUGGACAAGCGAGUGCCGAACCACGUCAAAAAGGGUUACUUUGAAGGAACGGGCGCAGGAGCGUCAAGUGGACAAGCGAGUGCCGAACCACGUCAAAAAGGGUUACUUUGAAGGUAAUUAGAAGUCAUGGAUGGCGAUCAAGCGACAAGAUAAAUGAACCGAACACUCCACUUCGAAGCUUCCGCUAUGUUAAACUUGUUAAACAGUGGUUCUUUUGUUGUAAUCAAAGUCUUAAACAACAAUAUUACGUUCUACUUUUGUUCUUAGUAGGCUAACUAGUAAAAGUUUUGAAACCUUUGUAAAUUUUAACGGCUGUUGGUAUAUAAUAGAUAUUAAAUUCUAGUAUAAAAA